rnacentral:rRNA from 1 species
CAAAUCGAGUGGGUUUAGACCACGGCGAACGGGUGAGUAAUACCUAGGAAUGUCCUUUAAGUUGAGCAUAACCCACCGAAAGGUGGAAUAAUACUCGAUGUGGUCGUAAGACUAAAGUCGCAAGACGCUUAAAGCGCAGCCUGGGCACCAUCAGCUAGUUGGUAAGGUAAUGGCUUACCAAGGCUAUGACGGUUAGGGGCCCCGAGAGGGGAGACCCCCACACUGGAACUGCGACACGGUCCAG